rnacentral:rRNA from 1 species
UACGUAGGUGGCGAGCGUUGUCCGGAUUUACUGGGCGUAAAGGGAGCGUAGGCGGACUUUUAAGUGAGAUGUGAAAUACUCGGGCUCAACUUGAGUGCUGCAUUUCAAACUGGAAGUCUAGAGUGCAGGAGAGGAGAAUGGAAUUCCUGGUGUAGCGGUGAAAUGCGUAGAGAUUAGGAAGAACACCAGUGGCGAAGGCGAUUCUCUGGACUGUAACUGACGUUGAGGCUCGAAAGCGUGGGGAGCAAACAGG